AUUGAACGCUGGCGGCAGGCUUAACACAUGCAAGUCGAGCGGGGUGAUGGUGCUUGCACUAUCACUUAGCGGCGGACGGGUGAGUAAUGCUUAGGAAUCUGCCUAUUAGUGGGGGACAACAUCUCGAAAGGGAUGCUAAUACCGCAUACGUCCUACGGGAGAAAGCAGGGGAUCACUUGUGACCUUGCGCUAAUAGAUGAGCCUAAGUCGGAUUAGCUAGAUGGUGGGGUAAAGGCCUACCAAGGCGACGAUCUGUAGCGGGUCUGAGAGGAGGAUCAGCCACACUGGGACUGAGACACAGCCCAGACUCCUACGGGAGGCAGCAGUGGGGAAUUUUGGACAAUGGGCGAAAGCCUGAUCCAGCCAUUCCGCGUGAGUGAAGAAGGCCUUCGGGUUGUAAAGCUCUUUCGGCAGGAACGAAACGGUGCUCCCUAAUACGGAGUGCUAAUGACGGUACCUGAAGAAGAAGCACCGGCUAACUACGUGCCAGCCGCCGCCGUAA
rnacentral:rRNA from 1 species